rnacentral:sRNA from 1 species
AUAACCCUGCGAUGUUCGUGUUCAUGCACUUAGUCUUGAGCCAACACUCGAUCUCAAGAGGGUUGAAGUUCGAGCCGGCAAAGGAGAUGGGUAACCAUCACCGAAGCUAAGGCACGACAAACCCUUAAUAAUUAGGACCGGGUCAAGACGACCAUGACACGGCAUUGCGGGGAGACA